GCUGUUCCCUGGAUGCUCUGGUGCUCCUUGAAGAUGUGACAACAUUGUGUCUUGAGCUUCGUUACCAGAACAAAUGGAAUACCUAAUGGAUAGCGUGCAUACCCUAAAGGCCUUGGUUUCUCAUUGCAUGGAAGUACAAAGCAGCAGUUUCCAAGCCGAUGAGAUAAUGCCACAGUAAAGAGGUAGCUCCAAUUCUACUUUUUCAAAAUCUUUUCUAUUAUCUUAUCUUAUUUCUCCUCAUAUUCACCAUUGCCACUCUUCGAGCUAAUGAAGUAUUUUUUCUUCAGCAACUCACUUGAAGUCCCCUAUGUAGAAGUUAUCCUCAUAGAGACCUGAAGUUCCUGAUCAGACAAUACAAAGAAAAUGAGCAGUAAUAUCACAAAAGAGAGGUUAAUAUUUCUUAGAAUGUUUGAAGCUGUAAUAAGACAUCCAGAGCAACAAAUGGGCAUUAUAUCCGUGAAGUAACUGGGUAUGAACCAGUCCAAGGCAGAAAGAGCUGGGCAGAAUUUCCCAA